AUUGAACGCUGGCGGCAUGCCUUACACAUGCAAGUCGAACGGCAGCACGGGAGCAAUCCUGGUGGCGAGUGGCGAACGGGUGAGUAAUAUAUCGGAACGUGCCCAGUCGUGGGGGAUAACGUAGCGAAAGCUACGCUAAUACCGCAUACGAUCUAUGGAUGAAAGCGGGGGAUCGCAAGACCUCGCGCGAUUGGAGCGGCCGAUAUCAGAUUAGGUAGUUGGUGAGGUAAAGGCUCACCAAGCCGACGAUCUGUAGCUGGUCUGAGAGGACGACAAGCCACACUGGGACGGGGACACGGGACAGACUCCUAAGGGAGGCAGCAGUGGGGAAGUUUGGACAAGGGGCGCAAGGAUGAUCCAGCAAUGCGGCGUGCAGGAUGAAGGCCUUCGGGUGGUAAACUGCUUUGGUACGGAACGAAACGGCGAGCUCUAAUACAGUUUGCUAAUGACGGUACCGUAAGAAUAAGCACCGGCUAACUACGGGCAGCCGCCGCCGUAACAC
rnacentral:rRNA from 1 species